rnacentral:tRNA from 1 species
CGGGGUGUGGCGCAGUUUGGUAGCGCGUAUGGUUCGGGACCAUAAGGUCGCAAGUUCGAAUCUUGUCACUCCGACCA